CCUAGAAUCUCAGUCUGAACACUUUCAAGGCAUUGACAGUUGCAGAACUGAAGUGAAUGAAGGUUCUGGUCACGGAGCCGUGAGUUGCCAUAGUUUUGGAUGACUUAUUUUUAUUUUUGUUCUCUUCUUACCCCAAGGGGCUCGUCCUGUGCAUUUAACCUUGACACCUAUGACGUCAUGCAUUUCCAGAGAACCUGGAGGACGGACGGCAGGCACCAAAGAAUGAGGGUAGAGGUAUGCAAUGAAGAAUGAGUCUUCUCUAUCUCAGGACAAAAGAGAAGCAGGAGUCUCAGGAGAUUAGGGUCCAGCUGAGGGCAGAAAGAAGAAGCUUGGUAGAAACGGUAAGAAUGCAGGAAUGGGGUUCCAAAAGGCAGGGAGGAGUAGAAGGCAGGGAGACAGACAGGAGAGAGAGAAAGCAUCCCUAGACUGUUCAAAGAGGCCUUCAGUGGUCAUACUUGUCAUAAGGAUGCUGUUGUGUUAACACAUGAAAGGCAUUCAGAGAAAUGAUCAACAUGUAGUCAGAUCUGAAGAAGUGUCAACCUGAGAGGGAAAAACAUUACCAGGUCACACUUUCCCCCAAAGUCACAAACAUCCAGUCACACAAGCCCUAACGAACAUAUCAUCAGGGCUGGAGAGAUGGCUCAGUGGUUAAAAACACUGGCUGCUCUUCCAGAGGUCCUGAGUUCAGUUACCAGCACCCACAUGGUGGCUCACAACCAUCUGUAAUGGGAUCUGAUGCCCUCCUCUGGCACAUGGGUGUUCAUGCAGAUAGAGCAUAUACAUAAAAAUAAAUAAAUAAGUCUUUUUUUUUUUAAAAAAAGAGAGCAUAUUAUCUUCUUGUCACACAGAACUAAAGUCCAACUUGCAAAGAAAAAAAAAGUCUGAGUUCCUGGUAGAUUUAGUUUCUUAUGCAUUUGAAGGUAGAGGCAGUUCAAGGUCAGCUUCAGAUACACAAUGUGUUCAAGACUACAUUGGGCUAAACAACAACAACAAAAACAAGCUCCCAAAACAAAAACAAGUCAGAGGCUGAAGAGCUAGCUCAACAAUUAAGAGUGUAUGUUGCUCUCAAAGAGGACCCAGGUUCACUUCUCAGCACCCACACAGUGGCUCACAAAAAUCUAAACUCCGGUUUCAAGAGAUUCCGCACUCUCCUCUGAUUUCCCUGGCACUGGGCAUGCAGGUGGUUUGUGUACAGGCGAACCCCGAGGACACUGCAGUAAAUGAAAUUAGCUAGUCACAAAUAGAUGGGCACUGUACGAUUCCUUCUCUAUAAACUGUCCAAUGUCAGGUUCACAGAAAAGAGAAAGAAAGUACUGUGUGGUUACCAGAUUCUUUGGUAAAGGCAAGUGGUUUAAUCGAUUUAGUUUUAGAUUUGAAGUAUAAAAAUGUUCUAGAAAUCUGUUUCUCAUUAGUGGGGGGCAUACACAACACCACUGAUGCACUCCAAGCAUGACCAUACAUUCCUGUAAGCCCAGCACAGCGCGCGCGGUGGGUGGGUGGGGUUGCUGAGUACAGGGGGCUAUGCAUUCCCAGGCAGUCAAGGUUACACACCCCAAACUCAAAGCACAAUGUAACAGCAAAAAAACCUGAAGAUUUUAUGUUGUAUGUGUGUGUUAUAUCACAAUUUAAAAAAAAACCAACAAAGACUAAAAAUGAUCUCCUUUUCUUUGUCUAGUAGAUGAAAAAGCCAAGAAAGGGUAACUCUACAUCCCAGGUUGUCAGUUCACAGACACAGAAUCAGGACCACAACAGCUGCAUUCUCUUUCUCUUCCUCCUCUCCCUCCCUUCCUUCUCCCCCUCCCUCUCCCCUUCCCUCCCCAUCCCCCUUUCUCUCUCUCUCUCUCUGGUGCUGAGGUAGAGAAAAAAGAGGAGGUGGCUGAUUUACAGACAGUGACAUUCCAUUGAACCCAAAAGGGAUCAAGACUCUCCUGUUCACAAAUGUUCCCAGUCCAUGCCCUUCCUCCUGAUCUCAUCUGGAUUAUUCAGAUCCACAGGAGCCCACAAGUCACCCUGGAAACCUUGAGCCACUCACAACUCCUGGAGUCUGAGCAACCCAUCAGAGGUUGAACCAGGAUGCCUAUAAAAAGCCUUCUGCGUUCCCCUACACACUCUUCACGAAUCCUCAGGAAGAACGGAAUAAGACAAGGGUCAGAGGGCUGGAGCCAGAUACUGAAGAUGCCAGGCUGGCUGGAGGCACUGGCGGCUGCACUUCCUCAGCCCGUCUCCUGUCUCUCUGGCUGGCAUAGCCUCUGCCUACACUCCUUUAAGGGAAUUGGUCAUGCUCCUGGCUAGCCUCACCUGUGUGUCUACUACUUACUGCACAAAGGAAAGGUUAUUUCCACGCUCAGUUUUCUAGACACUUAAAAGCACGGAUCUGUGAAUCAGUUAUGGUGGCAAAGAAUAAGUGGGAGAUUCAUCUUAACACCUGAGCUACCUGCCAUUCCUGUCUCUAGGACUUGCCUGCCAUGUAAAAGCCAAUUCAGGAAACAUCAAGAGCCUCAAGCUAACCCUACAAAGCAGGGGCCUCCCAGAGCUCACACCAACCAUAAAAGGAGAGAAAGAGGCCAGCAGCCCUCACUAACUCUACAUGUGUCACAUGCGCAGGAAUCAGAAGACAUGAAGACUUCUAUACAUCCUCUCAACUUCUCCUCCACCAGGUAUUCCCAUUUCCAAAUUUCCGGAAUCCAGAAACUAUAUUCCACCCUGUGGUGGUUUGAAUAUCCUUGGCCCAUGGAAAGUGACCCUAUUGGGAGGUGUGAUCUUAUUGGAGGAGGUGUUACCUUGUUAGAGGAAGUGUGUCACUGUGGGGGUGGGCUUUAGGGCUCCUAUG